CAUACACACACACAUAAUCAAAUCACAUGGCCCAACUCAGAACCAAGGGUCUGGGAAAUAGGUUCCCUGAAUGCUGAGGACUACUGAGGCACGUUGCCAAGCACGCGGAUAUGGGGAGGGGGUGAGGGUAUGAAGAACUGGGAUCAUUUACACAAUCAACGUACCAUAUAAAUGAAAUAUUAAGGUUUCAGUUACCUAGUGUGUGAUCUCACCAACUCACCAUCUUCAAAAGGAAGAGCAUUAACUCUCCUUGGAAGCUUGAAGUUCUUUGUUACGGGAAACCCAGGAGGUAUCAUCACGGGAGAAACAUACGGGAGCAUACAGUGACAGUGUAAUACCAACAGAAAUACCAAAAUUUCACUUCUUAAGAAGAGCAAAUAAACCAUAAUCCUGAGGUACAGAAAAUCAAUCAUUACCAGCCUGUCUGAUUAUCAUUAACAUCUGUGAUCAAAAGGAGUACACUUUGUACAGAUGUAAGAGAAGAAGAUUCCAGAAGAACAAAAGCAAAUGAUGAAGUUCUGAUGUAAAAAUGAACAAGGACAUAAGUAUGCUCAAAGGGUCAUUAAAAAGAAGGAGGCUCUCCCCCUGGAGCUGCAAGCUGGAGACAAGACACAGAGGGCCUGAUGGGUUUAAGUAAAUAUUUUGGAUCUUAGUCUAUUACAUUUGCAGAGAGUUUGUAACCUAACUAAUCUAAACCAGAUAAUGAUAUGAUAUAAAGUUGAAAUAAAGAUACAAAGUAUGA